AAAAAAAGAAUUAAUAGAGACAAGAGUCCUACAAAAACUGGAAACUAGGUCAAAUUCAAAGGAUUAAUAUAAACAAAUAAACACAAGUAUGUAGGGACAAACUUAGAAAGGCCAAGGCACAAAACGAGAUUAAACUAGCUAGAGACAAGAAAAUAUUCUACAAAUACAUUCGAAGCAAGAAGAGGACCAAGAACAUGGUAGGCCUGUUACUCAUUGAGUGGGGGAAACCAAUAAACAGAAAAUGUAGAAACGGCAAAAGUGCUAAAUGACUUCUGUUUCAGUUUUCACCAAAAAGUUUAGUAGUGAUUGGACAUCUAGCAUAGUGAAUGUCAGUGAAAAUGAGUUAGGAUCAGAGG